AUCCAGCUGACGAGUUUCAAAUAGAACGAAAUGCGCGUCCUGGAU
rfam:Schistosoma mattheei strain Denwood, Zambia genome assembly, scaffold: SMTD_scaffold0004089